rnacentral:rRNA from 1 species
AACGAACGCUGGCGGCAUGCCUAACACAUGCAAGUCGAACGAUCCCUUCGGGGUUGGUGGCGCACGGGGGCGUAACGCGUGGGAACCUGCCCUUAGGUUCGGAAUAACUCAGAGAAAUUUGAGCUAAUACCGGAUAAUGUCUUCGGACCAAAGAGUUAUCGCCUUUGGAUGGGCCCGCGUUGGAUUAGCUAGUUGGGGGGGUAAAAGCCUACCAAGGGGACGAUCCAUAGCAGUGCUGAGAGGAUGCUCAGCCACACUGGGACGGAGGCACGGCCCGGGAUUAUUCGGGAAGGGGCGGAGGGGGAAUUUGGCCAAGCGGCGUAAGUCUGGACGAGCUACGGCGCGUGAAGGACUAAGGGCUUGGGGUUGUAAAGCUAUGUUAACCGGGAUGUUAAUGCACGUUCCGGGAGAAUAAGCCCCGGCUAACCCCGUGC